rnacentral:rRNA from 1 species
UACGUAGGGAGCAAGCGUUGUCCGGAAUCAUUGGGCGUAAAGCGCGCGUAGGCGGCCCCGUAAGUCCGCUGUGAAAGUCCAAAGGCUCAACCGUUUGAAAGCCGGUGGAAACUGUGGGCUAGAGUCCGGAAGAGGCGAGUGGAAUUCCGUGGUGUAGCGGUCGGAAUGCGCAGAUAUCAGGAGGACACCGGUGGCGAAGGCGGCUCACUGGACUGGUAUUGACGCUGAGGUGCGAAGCGUGG